AUCCCGCCUGGAAAAGCGACGAUGCAUUCGUGCCUCGGCCUCGAGAGGCGUAGCUAGACGGCCGCGUGGCCGUGGAAAGAGCCCGAUUCCGACCCGAGAGGCCGCGGCAAGAGGCGGCCUCGAAGUCGGUGGAUCCUCCUGCUCGAAAGGCGGGGUGCUAAACCAUUCGCAGACGACCUAGUUGAAGAUCGGGGUGUCGUGAUCACUAGAGCAGUACAUCUCACUGCGAUUUGUUGAGAGUAAGCCUCAAGAUCUGUCGGUUUGU
rnacentral:ncRNA from 1 species